rnacentral:misc_RNA from 1 species
AAGUCGUAACAAGGUUUCCGUAGGUGAACCUGCGGAAGGAUCAUUAACACGUAUCCAAACGUUAAAACCCCCCUGUGAACCUUCAUAAUUCCUGAAAGCCCUCCUGCGCAUCGUUGUGGCGAUCCCUAGUAAAUCAUCGUCUGAAACAGAUUUUGAGUUAGGGACUACCAGCGCGACGGGACCUGGCGGAAUCCUGCAAACAUUCUGGUGCCCCCAAGCAACCAUCAUCUGAAAGUGUUGGUGAAUUGUGCAAGGGCGGCGUCGUCAACGCUCGCUGUAGGCCCACACGGCCGGCGACCGGAGUCUUCCCACGACCUACUACGUGGCCCAUAAAACACACCCAUGCAUGGCAAAAGGGCGCGCCUAACGGUUGUACCCACCCAUAAAACCGAACAACUGUUAACAAUGGAUAUCUUGGUUCUC